GUGACUGUUUUGGGCCCCAGUUUCCUUCCUGUUUGAAUCUAAUAUUCCUUCCUGCAUGAAUCUAAUAAUGAUUUAUCCUGACUCCCAGUCAGGGCUGGACCACGAGAGGAGGAGUGGAGGAAUAGUUGGAGGAGGAGAGGCGAAUGAGGGGUAACAGACACGGAGGAGUGUAGCUGACACAGUCUGAGUGGACAACGAGACAGGAAGUGACCUCAGUUUGAACAUUGACCCUGGAGCUGUGAGAUGGGACGCAAGCAUGCGAGCAUCUUGACCAGGAACAUAUUGUUGUUCAUGCAGGGUGCCACUGUCGCUGUGGACUCCUGCUCUGACCGUCCGGCAGCUCCUGUCCUUAUCACCGACAUCACCACCCGGACCCGUACAGGAGCGGAGAAUGCAGAGGAGCGUCUGGUGAACUACCUGUUGAGUCCAGAGCGUUAUAACAAACUGAUCCGUCCUGCUGUUAACAAGAGCCAGCAGGUUACCAUCUCUAUACAGGUGUCUCUGUCACAGCUCAUUAGUGUGAAUGAGAGAGAACAGAUUAUGACCACCAACCUCUGGCUGUUCCAGGAGUGGAAUGACUACAGACUGAGAUGGGACCCAGAGAAAUACGAAGGCAUCAAAAAACUACGAAUCCCAUCUCAACACAUCUGGCUUCCUGAUAUUGUUCUCUACAACAAUGCGGACGGUGUGUACGAGGUCUCCUUCUAUUGCAACGCCGUGGUGUCCAACACAGGAGACAUCUUCUGGCUCCCGCCUGCCAUCUACAAGUCAGCCUGCGCCAUCGAGGUCCAGCACUUCCCCUUCGACCAGCAGAACUGCACGCUCAAGUUCCGCUCGUGGACCUACGACCACACCGAAGUCGACCUCAUCCUCACCAGCGACUUCGCCAGCCGGGACGACUUCACGCCGAGCGGCGAGUGGGACAUCGUGUCGCUGCCCGCCCGCAAGAACGAAGACCCCGACGACAUCACUUACCUGGACAUCACCUACGACUUUGUCAUCAAGAGGAAGCCUCUGUUCUACACCAUCAACCUGAUCAUCCCCUGUGUCCUCAUCACCUCUCUGGCCAUCCUGGUCUUCUACCUGCCCUCUGACUGUGGGGAGAAGAUGACCCUGUGUAUCUCUGUCCUGCUGGCCCUCACUGUCUUCCUGCUGCUCAUCUCUAAGAUAGUACCGCCCACCUCUCUGGCAGUGCCUCUCAUAGGUAAAUACCUGAUGUUCACUAUGGUACUGGUCACCUUCUCUAUCGUGACCAGUGUGUGUGUCCUCAACGUUCACCACCGCUCCCCGUCCACCCACCACAUGCCUGACUGGGUCAAACGCCUCUUCCUGCUCCGCCUCCCCGCCUUCCUCCUCAUGAGACGACCCGGGAACAAUAACGUCCAGGAAAAAGUUAGACGGAAGCACGCCACUGCCGGGAACACCACCUCCGCGAACCCUGGAAAUUCCCGAGGAGGGGCGAAAAAGCGCUAUUUCCGACAUCAAGCUGGGAGGAAUCCAGACGGACUCUGA
ensembl:lncRNA